UAUUUGCCGGCGAAAAGGGUGAAUCGUGUGCAACUCACGAUCUGUCGCGCAACCGUAAUUUAGAAAUAAGAAGUCGGAUCCCCAAAAACUUUCGCGAUUUGAAGUAGAAAGAAUUUCUAUUCAUUUCAAAUAUUA
rnacentral:ncRNA from 25 species